rnacentral:rRNA from 1 species
AGCAGCAGCCAUAUCACCCUGCAACUCACAACUGCCAACUCCUCGAAGCUCAGCAGGUGUGAGUCUGGUCAGUACCUUGAUGGGAGACCUCCUGGGAAAAACUAAGGCUGCUGUUG